UCACCAAUACCGGCGGUGGGGAACUCGC
rnacentral:sRNA from 1 species